AUUGAACGCUGGCGGCAUGCUUUACACAUGCAAGUCGGACGGUAACAGGCCGCAAGGUGCUGACGAGUGGCGAACGGGUGAGUAAUGCAUCGGAACGUGCCCAGCCGUGGGGGAUAACGCAGCGAAAGCUGCGCUAAUACCGCAUUCGAUCUCUGGAUGAAAGCGGGGGACCGAAAGGCCUCGCGCGAUUGGAGCGGCCGAUGUCAGAUUAGGUAGUUGGUGGGGUAAAGGCCCACCAAGCCAACGAUCUGUAGCUGGUCUGAGAGGACGACCAGCCACACUGGGACUGAGACACGGCCCAGACUCCUACGGGAGGCAGAAGUGGGGAAUUUUGGACAAUGGGCGCAAGCCUGAUCCAGCAAUGCCGCGUGCAGGAAGAAGGCCUUCGGGUUGUAAACUGCUUUUGUACGGAACGAAACGGUCCGGGUUAAUACCCUGGGCUAAUGACGGUACCGUAAGAAUAAGCACCGGCUAACUACGUGCCAGCCGCCGCCGUAAUAC
rnacentral:rRNA from 1 species